UCUGGAAAUCAACCCGGCUAAUGAAU
rnacentral:sRNA from 1 species